CCCUACGGGGAGCUGCAGUGGGGAAUAUUGGACAAUGGGCGAAAGCCUGAUCCAGCCAUGCCGCGUGUGUGAAGAAGGCCUUCGGGUUGUAAAGCACUUUCAGUGGGGAAGAAAGCCUUGGGGCUAAUACCCUCGAGGAAGGACAUCACCCACAGAAGAAGCACCGGCUAACUCCGUGCCAGCAGCCGCGGUAAUACGGAGGGUGCGAGCGUUAAUCGGAAUUACUGGGCGUAAAGCGCGCGUAGGCGGUCUGAUAAGCCGGUUGUGAAAGCCCCGGGCUCAACCUGGGAACGGCAUCCGGAACUGUCAGGCUAGAGUGCAGGAGAGGAAGGUAGAAUUCCCGGUGUAGCGGUGAAAUGCGUAGAGAUCGGGAGGAAUACCAGUGGCGAAGGCGGCCUUCUGGACUGACACUGACGCUGAGGUGCGAAAGCGUGGGUAGCAAACAGGAUUAGAUACCCGAGUAGUC
rnacentral:rRNA from 1 species